GCAGAACCCGCGUUGCUUCGUCACUUUCUAAGUUUCUGGAAAGCUCACCGAGAAAAUGGUGAAACAACCGGAGCGACUCCAGACAGUCACCAAUCCUCUUCGCUCCUCCGUCCGAAUCACCUCUCUUUCUUUUGGGUUCCGGCAGAUGGAGAGGCAGAAAGCUCGGUGAGCUCGUCGUAUCUGCACGCGCACUCUAACCCGACGAUUAUAAACCCGAAGAAGAAGUCGGGGUAUGGGCAAACGUUGUCUCCGUACGACAGUGGUGAAGAGGAAGAGCUUGAUGAUGAGAGCGACGACGAUGACGACUGGUCACUCAACGAUGACUUCGCAGAGGUGACAGAGUAUGAAAAGAAGAAACCAAAGUCACAGAAGCCAACCAUUGCUAAGAAAGGUGGGAAGAAAGUAUGACGCUUCUCGGGUGAUGCUAAAGGAUGCAACAAGUGAUGUUAAGAAGCUCUGCAACUCAGGCUAAAAUCAUUGGCACGAGCCAAGUUGGAUCAUUGGAGGCCUUUUGCUAGCUUUACAGUUUUUGCUACUUUCAGCCUGGUAUAUUCUUCAGACUCAGAUCAUGGAGAUAUUCCCUGAAGAUAUAAGCGUAGUCCUCUACUAGAACAUGUGUGCAACGCUAAUCUCAGUGCUAGUAUGUCUAUUUGUAGAAAGAGACUUAAAUUCUUGGAAGCUUUAACCGGGAGU